rnacentral:snoRNA from 1 species
GAGCACUGUUCGUGACCUGCUGGUCUGCCUGUGGCUGGCGGGUUCCAUUCCGGUGCCAUAGCAGCUCCAGCACCACGUGACUGAC